GAUGAACGCUGGCGGCGUGCCUAAUACAUGCAAGUCGAGCGAACAGACGAGGAGCUUGCUCCUCUGACGUUAGCGGCGGACGGGUGAGUAACACGUGGAUAACCUACCUAUAAGACUGGGAUAACUUCGGGAAACCGGAGCUAAUACCGGAUAAUAUAUUGAACCGCAUGGUUCAAUAGUGAAAGACGGUUUUGCUGUCACUUAUAGAUGGAUCCGCGCCGCAUUAGCUAGUUGGUAAGGUAACGGCUUACCAAGGCAACGAUGCGUAGCCGACCUGAGAGGGUGAUCGGCCACACUGGAACUGAGACACGGUCCAGACGCCUACGGGAGGCAGCAGUAGGGAAUCUUCCGCAAUGGGCGAAAGCCUGACGGAGCAACGCCGCGUGAGUGAUGAAGGUCUUCGGAUCGUAAAACUCUGUUAUUAGGGAAGAACAAAUGUGUAAGUAACUAUGCACGUCUUGACGGUACCUAAUCAGAAAGCCACGGCUAACUACGU
rnacentral:rRNA from 1 species